ensembl:misc_RNA Metazoa_SRP Metazoan signal recognition particle RNA
GCCAGGCAUGGUGGCGGGCGCCUGUAAUCCCAGCAACUCGGGAGGCUGAGGCAGGAGAAUUGCUUGAACCCAGGAGGUGGAGGUUGCAGUGGGCUGAGAUCGCACCACUGCACUCCAGCCUGGGCGACAGAGCAAGACUCUGUCUCUU